AAAGAGUUUUCGGACAAUGGAUGUAGAGGGAAGUGGCGGACGGGUGAGUAACGCGUGAGGAACCUGCCUUGAAGAGGGGGACAACAGUUGGAAACGACUGCUAAUACCGCAUGAUGCAUAGGGAUCGCAUGAUUCUUAUGCCAAAGAUUAUCGCUUCAAGAUGGCCUCGCGUCUGAUUAGCUAGUUGGCGGGGUAACGGCCCACCAAGGCGACGAUCAGUAGCCGGACUGAGAGGUUGAACGGCCACAUUGGGACUGAGAUACGGCCCAGACUCCUACGGGAGGCAGCAGUGGGGAAUAUUGCACAAUGGGCGCAAGCCUGAUGCAGCAACGCCGCGUGGAGGAAGACGGUUUUCGGAUUGUAAACUCCUGUUCUUAGUGAAGAAUAAUGACGGUAGCUAAGGAGCAAGCCACGGCUAACUACGUG
rnacentral:rRNA from 1 species